CAAUAGCGUAUAUUAAAGUUGUUGCAGUUAAAAAGCCCGUAGUUGAACUUCAGGCCUGGUGGGGUGGUCCGCUUAACGGCGUGUACUGCUCUGCUGGGUCUUACCUCUUGGUGAGCCGGCGUGGCCUUCACUGGUUGCGUCGGGGAACCAGGACUUUUACCUUGAGAAAAUUAGAGUGUUCAAAGCAGGCCUAUGCCUGAAUACAUUAGCAUGGAAUAAUAAAAUAGGACGUGCGGUUCUAUUUUGUUGGUUUCUAGAGUCGCCGUAAUGAUUAAUAGGGAUAGUUGGGGGCAUUGGUAUUGAGUCGCUAGAGGUGAAAUUCUUGGAUUGACUCAAGACCGACUACUGCGAAAGCAUUUGCCAAGGAUGUUUUCAUUA
rnacentral:rRNA from 1 species